rnacentral:rRNA from 1 species
AGCGAACGCUGGCGGCGUGCCUAACACAUGCAAGUCGAACGUGAAAGGGGGCAAUCCCAAGUAAAGUGGCGUACGGGUGAGUAACACGUAGGUAAUCUACCCCAGAAUCUGGAAUAACCGGCCGAAAGGCUGGCUAAUACUGGAUAGAGCGACGGAAUCCGUAAUUGGGUUUUUCGGGAAAGGGAGCCUGUAAAAAGGCCUUCGUUCUGGGAUGAGCCUGCGUCCCAUCAGCUAGUUGGUGAGGUAAAAGCUUACCAAGGCAAUGACGGGUAGCUGGUCUGAGAGGACGAUCAGCCACACUGGAACUGAAACACGGUCCAGACUCCUACGGGAGGCAGCAGUGGGGAAUCUUGCGCAAUGGACGAAGUUCUGACGCAGCAACGCCGCGGGAGUGAAGAAGGCCGUCGGGUUGUAAAGCUCUGUCGAGUGGGACGAAAAUGCUUGGAGUUCACAGCUCCAGGAACUGACGGUACCACUAAAGGAAGCACCGGCUAACUCCGUG